UACGAAGGGGGCUAGCGUUGCUCGGAAUACUGGGCGUAAAGCGCGCGCAGGCGGUCUUCCAAGUCAGUGGUGAAAGCCCGGAGCUCAACUCCGGAAAUGCCAUUGAAACUGUGAGACUGGAGUACGAGAGAGGUGAGUGGAAUUCCCAGUGUAGAGGUGAAAUGCGCAGAUAUCAGGAGGAACACCGGUGGCGAAGGCGGGUCUCUGGGCCGAUACUGACGCUGAGGAGCGAAAGCGUGGGGAGCGAACAGG
rnacentral:rRNA from 1 species